AGGUGCUGCAUGGCUGUCGUCAGCUCGUGUUGUGAAAUGUUGGGUUAAGUCCCGCAACGAGCGCAACCCUUAUCCUUUGUUGCCAGCGGUCCGGCCGGGAACUCAAAGGAGACUGCCAGU
rnacentral:rRNA from 1 species